GUUUGAAGUUUAUACUUUUUUAUCGCACUAAGAUAAUUACUUGCAGAACUAGAAAUGUUAGAAUCUAUCCAAUCUGUAAGUUUAUCUAGUGCGUGUAAAAUGGUUGGUUGAAGUUCUUCAAAUAAUAUAACUGCAUCAUGGCAAUCAACCCAUUGAGUUGCGCACAUAUUUUUUAAUUUAUAAUGAUUAGUCUAUGGAUAUACUUUUGCUAUUGACAAUUACAAUUUACUUUGUCUUUUUGGUUAACCGAGAGUGGUAGCUGAUAACCAUAGAGCUAUAUACACUAUAUACACACUACAUUAGAA